rnacentral:rRNA from 1 species
GGAAUAUUGGGCAAUGGAGGAAACUCUGACCCAGCGACGCCGCGUGCGGGAUGAAGGCCUUCGGGUUGUAAACCGCUUUCAGUAGGGAAGAAGCGAAAGUGACGGUACCUACAGAAGAAGCACCGGCUAACUAUGUGCCAGCAGCCGCGGUAAUACAUAGGGUGCAAGCGUUGUCCGGAAUUAUUGGGCGUAAAGAGCUCGUAGGUGGUUUGAUACGUCGGGUGUGAAAUUCAGGGGCUCAACCCCUGACCUGCAUUCGAUACGGUCAAGCUAGAGUUUGGUAGGGGAGACUGGAAUUCCUGGUGUAGCGGUGGAAUGCGCAGAUAUCAGGAGGAACACCGAUGGCGAAGGCAGGUCUCUGGGCCAAUACUGACACUGAGGAGCGAAAGCGUGGGGAGCGAACAGGAUUAGAUACCCUGGUAGUCCACGCCGUAAACGAUGGGCGCUAGUUGUGCGAACCUUCCACGGUUUGUGCGACGCAGCUAACGCAUUAAGCGCCCCGCCUGGGGAGUACGAUCGCAAGAUUAAAACUCAAAUGAAUUGACGG